GUCGACGAACUUCCGUUAAUUGAUUAUGACGUACUUGUACUGAUUGAGAUUUUAACACGAAGUGAGUGGCGAACGGGUGAGUAACACGUGGGUAACCUGCCCAGAAGUAGGGGAUAACACCUGGAAACAGAUGCUAAUACCGUAUAACAGAGAAAACCGCAUGGUUUUCUUUUAAAAGAUGGCUCUGCUAUCACUUCUGGAUGGACCCGCGGCGUAUUAGCUAGUUGGUGAGGUAAAGGCUCACCAAGGCAGUGAUACGUAGCCGACCUGAGAGGGUAAUCGGCCACAUUGGGACUGAGACACGGCCCAGACUCCUACGGGAGGCAGCAGUAGGGAAUCUUCCACAAUGGACGCAAGUCUGAUGGAGCAACGCCGCGUGAGUGAAGAAGGGUUUCGGCUCGUAAAGCUCUGUUGUUAAAGAAGAACGUGGGUAAGAGUAACUGUUUACCCAGUGACGGUAUUUAACCAGAAAGCCACGGCUAACUACGUGCCAGCAGCCGCGGUAAUACGUAGGUGGCAAGCGUUAUCCGGAUUUAUUGGGCGUAAAGCGAGCGCAGGCGGUCUUUUAAGUCUAAUGUGAAAGCCUUCGGCUCAACCGAAGAAGUGCAUUGGAAACUGGGAGACUUGAGUGCAGAAGAGGACAGUGGAACUCCAUGUGUAGCGGUGAAAUGCGUAGAUAUAUGGAAGAACACCAGUGGCGAAGGC
rnacentral:rRNA from 1 species